UGAAAGACAUGGGUAGUGAGAUGUUUUGCAGAUCAGCUCACUACUCUGUCUUUU
rnacentral:pre_miRNA from 13 species